AUACUUUGUUUAAUCCCUUUUAAUAUAGUAUAUUUGGGAUUUUGUGGGAGACUUGUAGAAGAAAAGAUCACGAGGAAGGUCAACAUGGAGGGAAAAUGCAUUCAAAAUGUUUCAUCUCAAGACUUGAAUGAUUCUGACACUAGUGAAGCUCCCCUUGAGGUUGAGUUUGAUCAGGAGCAGGAAGAAGAGGCAAGUCGUGAUUGGCCUGAACAAGAUCAGAGUGGAGAUUAAGAAGGCAAAGCGCAGCAACAGCGGCAAUAGCCGUUCCUUGAAGCGGAGGGUCUUGGCCUAGGGAAGAGAAGCGUUGAUGCAGAGAUUGAUGGGGUUGAUAUUGUUAAGUGUUGAGUUGAAUAUUUUUGUUUGGUGGGAAGCCAACCCCUGGAUGUUGAGAUGUUUUAGUGCGUUAUUCAAAUUGACCAAAUGUAAAGACUAAGUUUAAUUUCAAUGGACUUUAUUUUGUCUA